rnacentral:miRNA from 1 species
GAUCAACUAAGUUUGUUCUGGGUAUAAGCUUUCAUGUGCAUGCACACAAAAGCUUAUACCCAGAACAAACUUAGUUGGUC